ACCCCUUCCCCCCAGUGCUGCCAUAUUUAAUGUUAUGUAAGUAUUAGGUUCUAGAGACAGGGCCUUCUUUAAAAACCCAGAAGUCAAUUUUAUUAUUUAUUUGGCUCAUUUGUUAGAAUAGGGUUACUAAUCUGAUCGUUUGGAAUUUUAGUUAUUUGGUGUGAGGAGGAAGCCUGUAGCUCUGCACAUUGAUUUGCAUGCCGGAGGAGGAAGUAGGGGGAAGAUUACGACUUUUCUAGGUGGACACAUAUUUUAGUGUCCCACUUCUUUAAGUCCUUUAAUGUUAACACCUUCUAACACUUUGCUGUUUGACUUUUGCCUUUUUUUUUUUUUAAAGAAAUAACUUGUGAGAUCGAAGUUUAGCAGUUGUCUUGGGUUCAUAUUAUUCCCUUUCACUUCUUAAUUUAAAAAAAAGGGAACUAAUAUACCACUGAAAUAAAGCCUGUAAAGUAUUUUCCCCCUUCAGCCUGAAGAAUCUAUUUAGAUCACAGCGUAACCCCCUCCCUUCUCUGGGUAGUAGGGGAGGAAGGAGGAGGAGUGAAGGUUUUGGCUCUGCCUUUACUUUUAAGGUUUAAGGUGGAGGUGGAUUUGCAUUCUCUUUGUAAGUAAGCCUCCAUGUUUGGCAGUGGAACUUCUGGGAGGAAUAGCAGCCCAGUCGUCCUUUUAAAGAGGAAAUCUGAAAAUAAGACUUAAUCAAGUCACUUACAAACUGAUGAAAUACUCAGGAAUAUAAUGGCCUGGCAAGGACAGUCCCUUUAUCUCAUUUCAGAUAAAUGCUCAUCACUUUUCUCUCAUGUAACAGUAUUUAUGAUGAAAUGGCAUGUUCUUGCCACAGCAGGGUUGCCUUUUCCCAACUCCAGAGCACUCUUAAUUCCGAGCUGCUUGGUGAGAGCCUCAGGGGUCCCGAAAGAUGUGUUUUCCCACUUUAUAAAGUUACAUUCUUUUCUCUCCAUUGUCACGAACGUGAUAUUGGCUGAUAAGGACUUUGGAGUAGUUUUAAUGACUCUUGACUGCCUACAAUGUACUACUUAUAAAAAAGAGAUAUGCUUUUAUCUGACUCUGAGGGCUGUGAUUGGCCUUCUCUUAUGUUUUACAAGAAGCUUUGUUUCCACUUGCUCAAAAAAAAUUUCAGUUUAAGGUGUUCAAGUAUGGCUUGUAUGUUAUGGGUUUUGAGGUUGCUGUGUAUGACUUGUCUUAAAUGGUUUAGUCCUAAUUUCCUACUUCAAUCAAAUUCUGUAGCAGAAUGGUUAAUAGGUGAAUGAACAGUGGCUAGGUAUUUUCUUUCUUUCUUUCUUCCUUCCUUUCUUUCUUUUUUAGUGGCUAGGUAUUUUCAAGCCUUAGGAAUAAAAACAUGAGACAGUUCUAUAUACUGAUGAGCAUGCCAAUAGAAUAAAACAAAUGUAAUGAGACUUUAAAUUAAAUGACUAAAUUGGGAUAGCUAGAAUAGUUUUCACAUUACCGAGGUGUUACAAAAUAAAAACCUGGAAGGUAUUUACAGUCCAGGCAUUAAAGGAAUCCCAAUCAUAUGAAAUGCUCUAAAUAGUGAAGGUUUUGGUCCCAACCUGUGAAUUAAACCCAGAGCAGUAGGAAGAGAGAAGAUUUGUCUACUCAUCUCCAGAUGUGGGGGAGGGGUGUUGACUAGUUUAAAUGCACGUGGGAGACUGAAUUACACAAAGACAGCAGGAAAUUUCUUAAAUUUGGGUGAGGGAAGCUUGAUCAUUAUACCUUAAUGGCCUCAUUUUGGGUGUAGCAGAACAACUUUACUGAAAUGCUGGCUUAAGAAUAAGGUGAUUUGGCUUGUUUUUCUGCAACCAGUACUACAGUUAGGCACAUGUGCAGUGGUAUGUGGGGCAAAGGAUUUUGAAGCGAGACCAUGAGUGAGGGCAGAUAGGAAUCUGACUUUGAGGAAGUGGGAGGACAGGGACCAUCCUUUCUUAAAAUCUGCAGCUCUGAUAAGCAAGCUCAAUUCUUGUUAUAAAUCUAUCUUCCAGAUAAAUAAAAGGGCAGCCCUUGCCAGCGUCUGCUGUCUCCAGUUGUCCCUUUAUGCCUAACAUUGGGACCCUCCCGAAAAAGGGCAUUGGAACACUUGCUGGCUGCCUGUUCUUCACAUCCCCAUUACUUCCUGCCCAGGGUAACAGCAAAGCUGAGUUACUGGAAAUUUGGGGCCAGUUUGGUAAUUUUAUGAUCAAGUUGAGAAAUAAAAUUACUAAACCUGAAAAGACAGCUGAGCAAGUUGUAUGAGAGAAUGAGUUUAAUUCCUUAGGCUGUGUUCUUAAGCUUUACCAAAGAUGCUGGCUUUUUUGUGGGCUCUUGUGUUUUGUGUAUAGGUGUUCCUUAUUUUCUAGUGUCAGAAAGCCUUUUGAAUUUAAAAUCGUUCAAAAUUUAUAGUGAUAUGGCCUGGAGAUUGAGAGCCCGGAUAUGUUUUGUUCUUGAAUCAGCAUUAGGAUAAAUACUUGUGUGUUUUUUUCCUACCUAUAUCAAAUCUGGAUAACUUCAAAAACAGUUCACUUAUACCAGAAGUAUUUUCAUUCUUAAUCAGUGGAUAAGUGUUGUUCAUAUAUGAAUCCACUGAACACUGACUAUAUGUAUUAAUUGAAAAGAGACUUUUUUUUCCUUAAUUUUGAAAGCAAACAGGUGAUUUAAAAGGGCCAACUUACAACUUUAGUAUUUACUCUCUACAAAGACAGGGAGGGCAGUAUUUAUAUGUCUGUAAAGAACCACCUCAUGCCUUUAAAAGGCAUUGACUGCCAUGUUUAUGUUUAAUCUGAAGUUAAGUUGGGUACAAUUAAAAACACUCACUUUGGCCUUGUGGGAAAAGAGGUGUAGGGGUGUAGAGUAGUGGUAUGGUAUGGUAUAAUGCUUAAAGUUAUUUGUAUAUUUGUUUAUAUACAAAUAUAUAUAUGUGUGUGUACCUGUACGCAUUCACUAUUUUCUUUGUAGAGAGUUAAAGAAUACAGGUAAAGAUAGAACAAUUUGCUUUUUUAGUUCUCGCUCCCUCUCUUUGGUACAGCAAUAUUCUAAAAUCUUUUCAAAAUGUUAAGGUAGUACUGGUUAAGUCAUAAUAAGAACUCAUUGAUAGUAAUGCUUAAUCUUGCUUAAUUAAAAUUCUUUUUUUUAUCCAUUUUCCUUAUAGUUGUCUUUCAGGACAAGAUAAAAAAUUUCAAAGCCAGUUUACAGACCACAGUAUCUGUAAUACUGAUAAUACUGAAACUAAAACUAAUACACGGUGCUCUAAGUUCACAUUAAUAUCCUUUAACUGACUUAAUUGAUUUGGAAUGAAGCAGGCAGAGUUUUUUUAUUUUUUAUUUUUUCCUCUGAGGCAGCGUUUUUAAUCAUGACAUUCAAAUAUGCUAAUGUGAUUACAUUUUAUAGUACUACUGUGGUUUCUAAUCCUAUUUAGAACUAACUGGGCACUUGCAUACAAUUUCAAGAAAAUGAGCUUAUAUCCUUUAGAUUAGAAUCUUCCCAAACUCUGCCUUUGAACAGUCAUCUGGUUUUGAAUGGUUUAGGUUGGGAUGUUGAAUAUCAACUUUGAGUAUUUUAAUCUUUUUCUGUCACUUAACUUUUAAACAUCUUUCCACAACUAUUUUAGGAAAGUUGGGGGUUGACUCCUGGGUGUGACGUUGGUGAUUUCCUUGAAAUGGUACUGAAGGAUUUUAAGUUACAGGUUUUGAUUACUACUGUAUAUUACUAUAUAGAGUUAUCUCCACUAGUCAGAUUAAGAAAAAAUAGUAUGUGUAAAAUAUGGAAGGGAAACUUCUAUAAGAGCUGUAAGUUUCCUUAACCAGAUCUUGGAGAUAAUUUUACAGUUUAAAGGUUCAAAUGAAUUCGUCAAUGACUAGCAGUUUGUUUAGUUUUUGAGGACCAUGAAUACCUUACUGCUCCAUACUAUGGUAAUGAGUAGUCCACAUCAAGAAAUGUAAGAUACCUCUUAUGAAGUACAGCUGUGCUGUCUCAGAGGGUUUUGGAAAUCUUGUCUCCAGAUUGCUGGAAUUGACUUGCUCAACUGACUCAUUCGCUCUCAGUGGAGACAAAGAGAAGUAAUGCUUUGUGCUGACUCAUAUUUGAAUCAAAGCAUCGCGGAAAGAACCAGUGAUACUCUGUCAUUGAGCUUCCCAAGACUUCUGAAGAUAAGAAGUUAGAGGAAUAUACAUUU